rnacentral:rRNA from 1 species
GACGAACGCUGGCGGCGUGCUUAACACAUGCAAGUCGAACGCUGAAGACCUGGCUUUUGUUGGGUUGGAUGAGUGGCGAACGGGUGAGUAACACGUGAGUAACCUGCCCUCUUCUUUGGGAUAACGCCCGGAAACGGGUGCUAAUACUGGAUAUUCACUGGCCUUCGCAUGGGGGUUGGUGGAAAGGUUUGUUCUGGUGGGGGAUGGGCUCGCGGCCUAUCAGCUUGUUGGUGGGGUGAUGGCCUACCAAGGCUUUGACGGGUAGCCGGCCUGAGAGGGUGACCGGUCACAUUGGGACUGAGAUACGGCCCAGACUCCUACGGGAGGCAGCAGUGGGGAAUAUUGCACAAUGGGCGAAAGCCUGAUGCAGCGACGCCGCGUGAGGGAUGGAGGCCUUCGGGUUGUAAACCUCUUUCGCUCAUGGUCAAGCCGCAACUGUGGGUUGUGGUGAGGGUAGUGGGUAAAGAAGCGCCGGCUAACUACGUGCCAGCAGCCGCGGUAAUACGUAGGUGGCAAGCGUUGUCCGGAAUUAUUGGGCGUAAAGCGCGCGCAGGUGGUUUAAUAAGUCUGAUGUGAAAGCCCACGGCUCAACCGUGGAGGGUCAUUGGAAACUGUUAAACUUGAGUGCAGGAGAGAAAAGUGGAAUUCCUAGUGUAGCGGUGAAAUGCGUAGAGAUUAGGAGGAACACCAGUGGCGAAGGCGGCUUUUUGGCCUGUAACUGACACUGAGGCGCGAAAGCGUGGGGAGCAAACAGG